rnacentral:lncRNA from 1 species
UGGGAACUAACAGUAUGUAAUAAGUAUAAUAUGUGUUAUAUAAUAAUGUAGUGUAAUAAUGUAUACAUGUUGAUGUAUUAACUCUACAAAGUGCAAAAAACUAUUAUAGACUAAUAUGGAUCAAAACUAGUUAAACUAGAUCCAACCCAUAUUUGUAAUAAUAAUAUGGGUCCAAAACCAAAUCAAUCCACCACCUAAAAACUAAUUAAUCAACCUAAUAGAUCCAAGUAGUUUUGGUUAACUAUAUAGUUUUCAACUUAAAUUGUCAAAUCUAUUCGUAAUAAUACCGUGUAGUGAAAAUAAGGGACGAAUGUGAGACCCCAAAUUUUAUGAAUAAAGAUUUAAUUUUUCUCGAAAUAUUUUUU